rnacentral:rRNA from 1 species
UGUGGUUUAAUUCGAUGCAACGCGAAGAACCUUACCUGGUCUUGACAUACUGAGAACCUGCAGAGAUGGGGAGUGCCUUCGGGAAUUCACAUACAGGUGCUGCAUGGCUGUCGUCAGCUCGUGUGUGAGAUGUUGGGUUAAGUCCCGCAACGAGCGCAACCCUUUUCCUUAUUUGCCAGCGGGUUCAGCCCGGGAACUUUAAGGAU